AGUUCGGAUCAUGGCCUGACGAACGCUGGCGGGAUGCUUUACACAUGCAAGUCGAACGUGGCACGGACUUCGGUCUGGUAAGAGGCGAACGUGGUGACAAUGUAUCGGAACGUGCCUAGUAGUGGGGGAUAACUACGCGAAAGCUGUAGCUAAUACCGCAUACGCCCUUCGGGGAAAGCGUGGACCUUUCGGGCCUCGCACUAUUAGAGCGGCCAGCAUCGGAGCUUAGUCAGUUAGGGCAACGGUCACCAAGGCGACGAUCCGUAGCUGGCUUGAGAGGAUCGACCGCAGCCACACUGGGACUGAGACACGGCCCAGACUUCAUGGGUGGCAGUGGGGAAUUGACAAUGGGGAAACUCCUGAUCCAGCCAUCCUGGCGUGCGAUGAAGGCUUUUUGGUUGUAAAGCACUCCUUGGCAGGAAAGAAACGGCACGGGAUAAUACCCGCAGUCUGACGGUGGUUCCGCAGAAUAAGCACCGGCCAAUCCAUGCCACAGCCGCGGUAAUACGUAGGGUGCAAGCGUUAAUCGGAAUUACUGGGCGAAGCGUGCAGGCGGUUCGGAAAAGAAGAUGUGAAAUCCCAGAGCUUAACUUGGAACUGCAUUUUUAACUACCGAGCUAGAGUGUGUCAGAGGGAGGUGAAUUCGCGUAGCAGUGAAAUGCAGAUAUGCGGAGGAACACCGAUGCUGGCGGAAGGCAGCCUCCUGGGACAACACUGACGCUCAUGCAUCGCGCGUGGAGCAAUACAGGAUUAGAUACCCUGGUAGUCCACGCUCCAACGAUGUCAACUAGCUGUUGGGGCCUUCGGGCCUUGGUAGCGCAGCUAAUGCGUGAAGUUGACCGCCUGUGAGCAUGUCGCAAGAUUAAACCAAAGGAAUUGACGGGGACUCCGCACAAGCGGAUGAGCGUGAUUGACCUCAUGCAACGCGAAAACCUUACCUACCCUUGACAUGUCUGGAAUCCCGAAGAGAUUUGGGAGUGCUCGCAAGAGAACCGGAACAUGGCAAGCAUGGCUGUCAGCUCGUGUCGUGGAGAUGCUUUGGGCCAAGUCCCGCAACGAGCGCAACCCUCGUCAUUAGUUGCUACGAUGCACUCUAUUGACUGCCGGUGACAAAACCGAGGAAGUGUGGGAUGACGUCAAGUCCUCAUGGCCCCCAGGUAGGGCUUCACACGUCAUACAAUGGUCGGGACAGAGGGUCGCUAACCCGCGAGGGGGAGCCAAUCCCAGAAACCGAUCGUAGUCCGGAUCGCAGCCUGCAACUCGACUGCGUGAAGUCGGAAUCGCUAGUAAUCGCGGAUCAGCAUGUCGCAGAAUACGUUCCCGGGUCUUGUACACACCGCUCACACCAUGGGAGUGGGUUUUACCAGAAGUAGUUGAAGCCCAACCGUAAGGGAGGGCGAUUACCACGGUAGGAUUCAUGAUCGGGGUGAAGUCGCAAUAAGGUAG
rnacentral:rRNA from 1 species